rnacentral:rRNA from 1 species
CACGCAGGCGGUCGGACGCGUUUCGGGUGACAGCGGGUGGCUUAACCACGCGAGUGUUCGAAAGACGGUCUGACUUGAGGGCUCGAGAGGGACACGGAAUUCCGGGUGGAGUGGUGAAAUGCGUAGAGAUCCGGAGGAACACCGAAGGCGAAGGCAGUGUCCUGGCGAGUGACUGACGCUGAGGUGCGAAAGCCAGGGGAGCGAACG